CGCAUAACACAUGCAAGUCAAACGGUCCCGCAGCAAUGCGGGACAGUGGCAAACGGGCGAGUAACACGUGCUUAAUCUGCCCUGGAGACGGGUAUAACACUAGAGAUAGUGCUAAUCCCCGAUACGUUCCAAUGAUCGAACUAUAGUUGGAAGAAAUGAUUUAUCGCUCUAGGAGGAGAGUGCGGCCUAUCAGGUAGUUGGUGGGGUAAUGGCCUACCAAGCCUAUGACGGGUAGCCGGUCUGAGAGGAUGUCCGGCCGCAACGGAACUGAGACACGGUCCGUACCCCUACGGGGGGCAGCAGUGGGGAGUCUUGGACGAUGGACGAAAGUCUGAUCCAGGGACUCCGCGUGGAGGAUGACGCCUUACGGGGUGUAAACUCC
rnacentral:rRNA from 1 species